rnacentral:lncRNA from 1 species
GUUGACAUGUGUUUGGUUAAUUAUAGUAAGGUCAGUUCGAUUGGUAUACUGAGAUCAUGCACGAUUGAACUCCCGUGGUUUACAGUCAAUCAAGCCAUUGCAGUCAAAGUGCACAGUAGCAUAGUAACAUUUUGCCAAAUAAAUAAUAUUAUCAAUUAUAUCAUUUAUUUUCUGAUUUGAAGACCACAAGUAUGGGGAAACCAGUACAAGCUGCUUAAUACCUGUAAAUUG